GAUGAACGCUGGCGGCGUGUCUAACACAUGCAAGUCGAACGGAGUCGUUUUGGAAAUCUCUUCGGAGAUGGAAUUCUCGACUUAGUGGCGGACGGGUGAGUAACGCGUGAGCAAUCUGCCUUUAAGAGGGGGAUAACAGUCGGAAACGGCUGCUAAUACCGCAUAAAGCAUUAAAUUCGCAUGUUUUUGAUGCCAAAGGAGCAAUCCGCUUUUAGAUGAGCUCGCGUCUGAUUAGCUAGUUGGCGGGGUAACGGCCCACCAAGGCGACGAUCAGUAGCCGGACUGAGAGGUUGAACGGCCACAUUGGGACUGAGACACGGCCCAGACUCCUACGGGAGGCAGCAGUGGGGAAUAUUGCGCAAUGGGGGAAACCCUGACGCAGCAACGCCGCGUGAUUGAAGAAGGCCUUCGGGUUGUAAAGAUCUUUAAUCAGGGACGAAACAAAUGACGGUACCUGAAGAAUAAGCUCCGGCUAACUACGUG
rnacentral:rRNA from 1 species